rnacentral:lncRNA from 1 species
GUAGAUUGGGCACAUGAUCUUGUUUUCAUUGGAAACCUCAAGGGUGUUUUCACCGUUUUCGUCGUCCUGGUAGACUUUGAUGAUCCAAGCUUGAAAAAAAUGAUAAUUCUUCAAACAAUCCUAAAUGGUAAACCCAACUUCCACACAAAUAUACUUAACUUAUCUAGCAAAUAACACUUUUAGAGAGGAAGAUGUUUCAAAUUACUUAAGGUUAUUACUCUUGAAAGUUGUUUAACUUUAGGUUUGAUUGCAAAUGGGUCAAUAAUUCAGAAUGCAUAGUUUGACACAAGUAUAAUUUUGGUUUUUAAUUCUAUUGUUGAAAAAAGUAUGGUUCAAUCCAAGACGUGAGGAUCUCAUACCAAUAGAAGUUGCAUUUAAUUUAUUUUAUUAUUAUUAUCAUCAUCUUGAGUUUGUUUUGAAUGUGCUAGUUUCUCUUGUGAUUUGUUGAUAGCAGUAUCAACAACCAACAAGUAGAAUGAUGAGUUUCAUAUGAGCAUGUGGAUCUGGAGGUGGAGGAGGAUAAGAAGAAUAAGAUUAGGAGGAGAAAGAAUAAUUCAAUAUGUAAGGUGUAUGGUAUAAAUGUGUGGAC